rnacentral:rRNA from 1 species
ACAACAGUCCGAAAGGACUGCUAAUACCGCAUACGUCAUCAAUCUCCUCGGAGGAUGAUGAGAAAGCUGGGGAUCUUCGGACCUGGCGCUGAAUGAGGGGCCCGCGUCUGCAUCAGCUUGUUGGUGGGGUAAUGGCCUACCAAGGCAAAGACGCAUAGCUGGUCUGAGAGGAUGAUCAGCCACACUGGGACUGAGACACGGCCCAG